rnacentral:lncRNA from 1 species
AUAAACCGUUACUGAGACUAAAGAUAAGACUCCUGGGAGAGUGGUGUGUCAGCUGCAGGCUCUCAUCUCCUUGGUGCUGAACAAAAAACGUGACACUUCCACAAGCGUGUGGAUCGCAGGUGGUUCCUGGGCAUCAGUGGGAACUGCACCGUGGGUCGGCGUGGGAUCACAUGGGACCAGAUAAUCAUCUUGAGGCGACACGUUGAGAAAAGACAAGACAUGCAGAAGAGGUGUGAUCGA